UGAUCAUGGCUCAGAUUGAACGCUGGCGGCAUGCCUUACACAUGCAAGUCGAACGGCAGCAUGAUCUAGCUUGCUAGAUUGAUGGCGAGUGGCGAACGGGUGAGUAAUACAUCGGAACGUGCCCUGUAGUGGGGGAUAACUAGUCGAAAGAUUAGCUAAUACCGCAUACGACCUGAGGGUGAAAGUGGGGGACCGCAAGGCCUCAUGCUAUAGGAGCGGCCGAUGUCUGAUUAGCUAGUUGGUGAGGUAAAGGCUCACCAAGGCGACGAUCAGUAGCUGGUCUGAGAGGACGAUCAGCCACACUGGGACUGAGACACGGCCCAGACUCCUACGGGAGGCAGCAGUGGGGAAUUUUGGACAAUGGGGGCAACCCUGAUCCAGCAAUGCCGCGUGUGUGAAGAAGGCCUUCGGGUUGUAAAGCACUUUUGUCCGGAAAGAAAUCGCACUUACUAAUAUUAGGUGUGGAUGACGGUACCGGAAGAAUAAGGACCGGCUAACUACGUGCCAGCAGCCGCGGUAAUACGUAGGGUCCAAGCGUUAAUCGGAAUUACUGGGCGUAAAGCGUGCGCAGGCGGUUGUGCAAGACCGAUGUGAAAUCCCCGGGCUUAACCUGGGAAUUGCAUUGGUGACUGCACGGCUAGAGUGUGUCAGAGGGGGGUAGAAUUCCACGUGUAGCAGUGAAAUGCGUAGAGAUGUGGANGANUACCGAUGGCGAAGGCAGCCCCCUGGGAUAACACUGACGCUCAUGCACGAAAGCGUGGGAGCAAACAGGAUUAGAUACCCUGGUAGUCCACGCCCUAAACGAUGUCAACUAGUUGUUGGGGAUUCAUUUUCCUUAGUAACGUAGCUAACGCGUGAAGUUGACCGCCUGGGGAGUACGGUCGCAAGAUUAAAACUCAAAGGAAUUGACGGGGAACCCGCACAAGCGGUGGAUGAUGUGGAUUAAUUCGAUGCAACGCGAAAAACCUUACCUACCCUUGACAUGCCACUAACGAAGCAGAGAUGCAUUAGGUGCUCGAAAGAGAAAGUGGACACAGGUGCUGCAUGGCUGUCGUCAGCUCGUGUCGUGAGAUGUUGGGUUAAGUCCCGCAACGAGCGCAACCCUUGUCUCUAGUUGCUACGAAAGGGCACUCUAGAGAGACUGCCGGUGACAAACCGGAGGAAGGUGGGGAUGACGUCAAGUCCUCAUGGCCCUUAUGGGUAGGGCUUCACACGUCAUACAAUGGUGCAUACAGAGGGUUGCCAAGCCGCGAGGUGGAGCUAAUCCCGGAAAAUGCAUCGUAGUCCGGAUCGUAGUCUGCAACUCGACUACGUGAAGCUGGAAUCGCUAGUAAUCGCGGAUCAGCAUGCCGCGGUGAAUACGUUCCCGGGUCUUGUACACACCGCCCGUCACACCAUGGGAGUGGGUUUUGCCAGAAGUAGUUAGCCUAACCGCAAGG
rnacentral:rRNA from 1 species